GAAUUGUAGUUUAUAGAAGCGUUUUCGGUGGCAGCCUGGGUAUAAAUCCUUUGGAAUAGGGUAUCAUAGAGGGUGAGAAUCCCGUCUUUGACUCAGUGCAUGCUACUAUGUGAUACGUUUUCAAAGAGUCGAGUUGUUUGGGAAUGCAGCUCAAAAUGGGUGGUAAAUUUCAUCUAAAGCUAAAUAUUGGCGAGAGACCGAUAGCGAACAAGUACCGUGAGGGAAAGAUGAAAAGAACUUUGAAAAGAGAGUUAAACAGUGCGUGAAAUUGUUGAAAGGGAAACGCUUGACACCAGUCAUGCGAGUGGAAAAUCAGUCUUUUGCAGUGGGGAGUUGUGGGCGUUCAGACCGCAAGGCUGGCGUUUGCUUCAUCUUUGUUGUAAGUGAUGCACUUUUUCAUUUGCAGGUCAACAUCAGUUCGCUUUGCUGGACAAAACCCCAAGGGAAGGUGGCAGCUUAGGCUGUGUUAUAGCCCUGGGGCGAUACAGUGGAGUGGACUGAGGUUUUCGCAGUGUGUGCUCUCUGGGCAAGGCUGACUGGGUGCUAUGGGAUCGUUCGGCGUACAAUGCAUGCAUUUUGCGCCGUGUCUUUUUCAUACUCGCUCAACUCGGCUCUUCCACACUUAGGAUGUUGACUUAAUGGUUUUAAUCGACCCGUCUUGAAACACGGACCAAGGAGUCUAACAUAUAUGCAAGUGUUUGGGUGGCAAACCCAUGCGCGUAAUGAAAGUGAACGUAGGUGCCAUCCGCAAGGUGCAGCAUCGACCGAUCUUGAUAUUUUUGGAUAGAUUUGAGUAAGAGCAUAUAUGCUGGGACCCGAAA
rnacentral:rRNA from 1 species